rnacentral:rRNA from 1 species
CACGUAGGGGCGAGCGUUGUCCGGAAUUACUGGGUGUAAAGGGCGCGCAGGCGGCCCCAAAAGUCAGAUGUGAAAGAUCAAGGCUUAACUUUGACAUGUCAUCUGAAACUUUGGGACUUGAGUAUCAGAGGGGAAAGUGGAAUUCCUAGUGGAGCGGUAAAAUGCGUAGAUAUUAGGAGGAACACCGGUGGCGAAGGCAACUUUCUGGCUGACAACUGACGCUGAGGCGCGAAAGCGUGGGGAGCAAACAGGAUUAGAUACCCGGGUAGUCCCUGAG